rnacentral:rRNA from 1 species
AUCGAUGAAGAACGCAGCGAAAUGCGAUAAGUAGUGUGAAUUGCAGAAUUCAGUGAAUCAUCGAAUCUUUGAACGCACAUUGCGCCCCUUGGUAUUCCAUGGGGCAUGCCUGUUCGAGCGUCAUCUAAACCCUCAAGCUCUGCUUGGUGUUGGGCGUCUGUCCCCGCGUCCGCGCGGAGACUCGCCUCAAAUUCAUUGGCAGCGGUCCUUGCCUCCUCUCGCGCAGCACAAUUGCACUCGAGGAGGCGCGGCCCGCGUCCACGAAGCUGUUUUACACCGUCUUUGACCUCGGAUCAGGUAGGGAUACCCGCUGAACUUAAGCAUAUCAAUAAGCGGAGGAAAAGAAACCAACAGGGAUUGCCCUAGUAACGGCGAGUGAAGCGGCAACAGCUCAAAUUUGAAAUCUGGCCCUCUUUGGGGGUCCGAGUUGUAAUUUGCAGAGGGUGCUUUGGCAUUGGCGGCGGUCUAAGUUCCUUGGAACAGGACAUCGCAGAGGGUGAGAAUCCCGUACGUGGGCGCCUGCCUUUGCCGUGUAAAGCCCCUUCGACGAGUCGAGUUGUUUGGGAAUGCAGCUCUAAAUGGGAGGUAAAUUUCUUCUAAAGCUAAAUACCGGCCAGAGACCGAUAGCGCACAAGUAGAGUGAUCGAAAGAUGAAAAGUACUUUGGAAAGAGAGUCAAACAGCACGUGAAAUUGUUAAUAGGGAAGCGCUUGCAGCCAGACUUGCCCGCAGUUGCUCACCCAGGCUCCGGCCCGGGGCACUCUUCUGCGGGCAGGCCAGCAUCAGUUUGGGCGGUCGGACAAAGGCCUCUUUCAUGUAUCUCCCUUCGGGGUGACCUUAUAGAGGAGGCGUAAUGCGACCAGCCCGGACUGAGGUCCGCGCUUCUGCUAGGAUGCUGGCGUAAUGGCUGUAAGCGGCCCGUCUUGAAACACG